CCCUUAGAUGUUCUGGGCCGCACGCGCGCUACACUGACGAAGUCAGCGAGCAUGUCCUACGCCGACAGGUGCGGGGAAUCUUGUCAAACUUCGUCGUGAUGGGGAUUGAUUAUUGAAAUUCUUGAUCAUCAACGAGGAAUUCCUAGUAAGCGCAAGUCAGCAGCUUGCGUUGAUUACGUCCCUGCCCUUUGUACACACCGCCCGUCGCUACUACCGAUUGAAUGGUUUAGUGAGAUCUUCGGAUUGGCGCCACUGCGGCUCAGCAAUGGGCUCGGUGGAUGCCGAAAAGUUGAUCAAACUUGAUCAUUUAGAGGAAGAAAAAGUCGUAACA
rnacentral:rRNA from 1 species